GGUUGUGGUUGGUGUGCGGGUUUCGGUUGGAGGACUCGUUGGGGAGGUGGCCUGCGCUUGUAGAGACUGCAUCCCCGAGACGAUGGCGGAGGGAGAUAAUCGCAGCACCAACCUGCUGGCUGCAGAGACUGCAAGUCUGGAAGAACAGCUGCAAGGAUGGGGAGAAGUGAUGCUGAUGGCUGAUAAAGUCCUCCGAUGGGAAAGAGCCUGGUUUCCACCUGCCAUCAUGGGUGUGGUUUCUUUGGUGUUUCUGAUUAUCUACUAUCUAGAUCCAUCUGUUCUGUCCGGCGUUUCCUGUUUUGUUAUGUUUUUGUGCUUGGCUGACUACCUUGUUCCCAUUCUAGCGCCUAGAAUUUUUGGCUCCAAUAAAUGGACCACUGAACAACAGCAAAGAUUCCAUGAAAUUUGCAGCAAUCUAGUAAAAACUCGACGCAGAGCUGUGGGUUGGUGGAAACGCCUCUUCACACUAAAGGAAGAAAAACCUAAGAUGGUACUUUUUUUGCUUUGACUUAAGUACAGUAAAAUUUUAAGAUUUGAGUCAAUUCGCCUUUUUGUCUUAAUAGCUAUAAUUUGAAAAUUAUUCAUUGGUUAAUUCCUAAGUACAUUCAUAAAUGUUUACCUGUAUUAAUUAGACUGAAUCAUUUUAAAGUUAAAAAUUACAUUUUUGCAUUUAAUUUUUUAUUCUAAUAAAACAAAAUUCUUCUGUUUCAUUUUUCUUACUGAAAUAAUAGUAAAAGACAUAUACUUAGAAAGCAUCUGUUUAGGCCGGGCACAGUGG
rnacentral:lncRNA from 1 species